UACGUAGGGUGCGAGCGUUAAUCGGAAUUACUGGGCGUAAAGUGUGCGCAGGCGGCCGAGCAAGUCGGGUGUGAAAUCCCCAGGCUUAACCUGGGAACUGCAUUCGAGACUGCAUUGCUAGAGUAUGGGAGAGGGAAGUGGAAUUUCCGGUGUAGCGGUGAAAUGCGUAGAUAUCAGGAGGAAUACCGAUGGCGAAGGCAGGUCUCUGGGCUAUAACUGACGCUCAUGCACGAAAGCGUGGGGAGCAAACAGG
rnacentral:rRNA from 1 species